UGGCCGCCCCGGCUGCAUUCCCUCACGCCGCUUCCCUCCGGCUACCCCGGCCCAGCGGCUUCCUCCCCGCUUUUUACCCUCGCUCCUCCGCGGCCUGCGCUCGGCCCCGCUCCUCGGUUCCCGAGCAGGCGGUGCGGGCGUUGGGGGGGCUGGGCCGCGUGUAGCGUGUGUGUGUGUGUGCGCUUUCGUUUCCACGGGUGGGCCCGAGGAAUAGUGCGGGCCCGGUACUGACGGCAGGUUCUGACGCUCCCUGUGACUUCUGGCAGCUUCCCUGACCCCACCGCGGCGUUUCGGGAGGCCAUGGAGCGGCACAUCCCCGUUCAUGCGCUGCCCGAGGAGAUUCGGAAGAUGCCCCGGGAUGAGACAGUGUGUAAAUACUGUGGAGUCAGCUAUUUGAUACUUCAUGAAUUUAAGGUGAUGGAAGAAAAAGUAAAAGCAAUGGAGAAGGAGAUUAAAUUUUAUGAAGGAAGUAUAGAACGGGAAAAAGGACUUCAAGCAGAAUUGCAGUCUCUUUACCAAGACCUUGAACACUAUCGAGCUGACAGUGAAUCAAAAACAGAAAGAAUAAAAACCCUAACAGUGGAACUUAAAAACAAACAAGAUGAAUUAAAAAAUGUGAAAGAAGAUUUGCAGUAUUUCCAAGAAGAAAAGGAAACUGCCUAUAAGCAAUCACAAGUGCUCAGAAAUACACUGGAACACCAUUGCUCAACUCUGAACAAGGCUGUCUCACUGUUUCCUUUUAUUAGAAGUGAACUAGACAGUAUUAAAGAAGCAAUCUCCAGUAAUCUAGAGAACUGGGCUGCCCUGAAAGAAGAAAUUUUUCUACAAAUAAAAACUGUUAGCAAAGAAGCUUUGACAGAAAUACCCAAAUUGAAUCAAAAACUAGCAAAAUCCCAGAGAGAGAAUGAAUGCCUCCAAGAAAAGGUAAAACAUCUGACAUUGGUGGCUGACACAGUUGAGCUGAAAACUCAACAGCUUCAAACUUCACUUCAGCAAGGGAAUGAGCUACAAAGUAGGUGCCGAGAGCUACAAAAGGAAACAUUAGAUUUAACAAAUCAAGUAGAGACAAUUGGACUGAAGCUGCAGAAAGUAACAGCCGAGAUGGACCACUACAAAAAGCUGUUAAUGGUGAAAUCAACGGAACUUGAUGUCUGUCAAAAUGAGCUGAAAAAAAUGAAAUAUGAAAAUGGAAUUACUGAGUCAAGACUUACAAAGGAGCUAAAGGAAAAGGAAGAAUCUCUUCUAAUUUGCCAACAAGUAUGCAAACAUUUACAGGAAGAGGUGGCUGAGAAAGAAAGGAAAGAAGAAGAUCUAAAAAGAAGGACCAGUCGAUCAGAAGGUGAACUGGAAGCACUUAAAGCUCUUCUUAGACAAACAGAGGAGGAGGUGGUGAUGUUGAAACAAGAAAGGGAGUUAAUGCUGAUUUCUCAUCAGAACAGAACAGAGCAGCUGCAGGAAACAUUAAGACAGAAGAUGCGGAAUGAAGAUAACUGGAGGGAGAAGAUGGAGAUUGAUCUGGCUAAAGGUGAAGCACGACACAAAGAAGCAAUUCUUAAAGUCAAGGAGGAGGCGAGAGUGGAAAUAGACAUUGAGAGACAAAAACAGCAAGAACUGAUCACAAAAUAUCAGAGAGACCAUGAAGAGCUCCAGAAGAAGAUACCAGGAUUAAUAUCCAGUGCCACCAGCAGCUUAAGGAUGGAGACAGAAAUUCUUGAAAAGAAGCUACAAGAUGUCCAGACCAAACUUGCAGAGAAAGAUGAAGAUAAGGAGAAAGAAAUUCAGGGCCUUAAAAGACUAAUUACUGAACUUGAAUUUCAGCUGACGAUGGAGAAGAACAAUAAUGAAUCAUUUCUGGAUAACAUGAGGAAAGAAAUUAAACACAAGUCAGAUGAACUGGAAAAAUUAACCCAGGAGAGAACACAACUGAUUCACAAUUUGAGUCAAGUUCAAGAGGAGAACACUCUUCUCCAGGAAACAGUGCGCAGAGAGUGUGAGGAACGCUAUGAGCUGACUGCAGCUUUGACUCAAGCCAGGGAACAAGUACUGGAACUAAAAAAGCUGAGUGGAAACUUCCCGUUAUCGCCGUGUUCCCUGACUCAGGGCAGCCUAACCUCCUCUGCUGCCCUGCUCGCUGAUUACGGACAGAAAAGCCGCACAACCCCCGGCACUGGGAAAGAAAUCAAUCUCUCUGGACAGUUUGGUAUUUCAAGAGCUGCAAAAGCACCCACCUCCAGUAAGCGUACCAGCAGCGGCGGCGUGGGCCUGCCGGCUCUAACCCCACCGCAUCCUCCAAGAGGAAGGGCGGCUUCGCUGAACGAGCCCAGGAGCAGGAUCGCUGCGGUUAUGAGAAGACAACUGAGUCAGCUCUGACAGUUACACACACAGCACACGGGGAACCAUUCCAGAGCAUCAAAUGACCCUUUACUUGUCCACCCCGAGGCCGAAUCUUAGCCAAUGCGUUUCAUGCAUUCUACGGCUUUAACUUAAAAGUGUCAUUAUUUUUUUUACGCAAUAAUGAUUAUUUGUCCAUUGCGUAUCAAUGUGAUUACAGGCUAUCUACAUUUCAAGAUGAGAAAAGUAAAAGAGAAAGUAUACUGCCUCUCCAAGACGAGCACGUCUUCAAUAGGUGUAAUUAAAAUCAUCGCCAAUUUCAGAUAAUGUUUUCCCAAACCACUUUGUUGGAAUUUCCUGUUUUGUGCGUUCUCCCAUGUAACUUAAUUGCUCGUUUCUGGUGUAAAAAUGUGAUUUGUUUGGUUAGAAUCAGAUUUUUGCCAUUAUUUGAGUGCUGUUAUAUUUGCAAAUAUGCUUAGGUCAGUGAGGCCUUGUGGAGUAUCUAUCAAUAAGCAUGAAAAUGUGGCAAAUCUGUGUGCUCAGUAGAGUAGCCAUUGGCAGGGACGUGGCUUCCUCUGUGUGCAAGUCUUCAAGCUGCGCUAAUUAACAGGGAGUUGAAGACUUAAUACAUUUUGUCCAAAAGAUGAUUGCCUCUUGAAUUUCAUCAGAAAAAUGUUAAGCAUGAUUUUUAGCUUCAAAGUAGAUGGAGUUCUCUAUGAAAUAGUUACACGGGAUUUUUAUUUUACUGCUUGAUACAUGGAGCCAUGGUUUGUUUUGGAGCAUGAAAAGCCCCAACAAGUCUUGGUUGUCUUUGUUAACGUGCAGAAGUAGCUGCUCUUUGAACAAGGUAGCUCUGCUGGUGGGCACUUUGUCAGUGUGGAAGACCAUGUGGGCUACGAGAAACAGCGAUGAGCAAUACAGACACAGUCUGGGAUUUUACUUACUGUGUGACCAGAUGCUCAAUUUUUUUGGUCAGAUAAGCCCAAACAGGUUCAGUUUGGUGACAGUAACAGGUUCUGGUGACAGCCCAACAGUCAUCAAGCAAGGAGAGGUGAUGAAGCAGGCCCUGGUCAGCCAGGCAAGUGCCCUGGGCAGAGGUGGACCUGUCAUGUAGACUCAGCUUGGGCAAGGGCAGGAGCUGGGGCUGAGCUCCUGGGCUGGUGGCAGCAGUGCAGGGGUGGGAGCCCUGCAAUACAGCGGGAGUUCACCCUUGUCAGUGUCCCUGGUGCCCUGAGAGUUACUUUGCUGGAAAGACCAUCUUCUGAGACCAUCAGCUGUGGGUUGGAGUGAAAAUUCAUGGGAGGUAAGUCAGAGGGGAACAUUUUGGAGACUUCCAGAGCGUGCAUAUGAUCAGCUGGUUCCUAUACACGCUCUGAGAGUGCAUACUUCACUCUCAGUUUCACUCUCUGCUCUGAGAGUUCAUACUUAACUGAAGUUGCAUAUGCAACUUCAUUUGAAGUCGUCUGCUCCUGGUUAAGUUUUGGGACGGGGCUUGCUCUUCGCUUGGAAUCAUGGAGUUGCUUCUUCACAGGACACUUUUCUUGUAAACCCAAAUACAUUUAUAAUCACACUGUGAACCUUCACCUCAUUAUUUCUGAGUGAUGAGAUAGUCCUAUACAUGACAAAAAGAGAGCAGUAGGCCAUGUCUCCCAUGCUGGAGAAAAUUAGAAAAUCUUUAUUGAACCCACUGGCAUGGCAGGGAAUGCAUUUUAUUCAGUAAAAGCAGUGGAAGAAACAGCCAUUGUAGAUUUAACCUCUGGGGCUGGAUUUGAAAACACACUUUGUCAUAGUUUCUGUUCCUGCUGAAGCCAUCAGUAAGCCUUACCUGAUUUCAGAGGUAGCAGAGUUUAUCCAAAAGCUCAAAAAUCCUCUCUUCACAAAUUUCAAAAGCAACAAAAAAAAAUCAGUACAGUGAAAGUUACUCUGGGGGCUGCUGCUGCGUGGAGGUGGCGUAGGUGCUCUGCAGCCACUUGGCAGAUGGAACAGACCUGAACUUAACAGUCUUUUAUGCCCUCAAAGAAGCUGUUGCCAAAAACCAGCUGUUUGGGGUGUGUUAGAAUCAAACAUGAAUACUGUCCCCAGGAGAGCGUGGAGUCAGCUUGGUGGAGGUCUGAGCCUCAUGAUUUACCUUCCAGCUUUCCUCAGCUUUGGCUGAACAGGAGGCCUGGUGACCAGCUUGCCUUCUCCACUGCAGAAGAGCCCAGCUGUAGCUUCCAGCCCAGGCACGUGCUGAUAGACCGCAUCCCUCCUCUGCUCAGGGGAGGCUUGAGCAGUUCUGCUAAAAUGGGAUUGCGUUAAUAUCAGUUGACUAAUUAAUUGGGCAAUGGCAAUGUGUCUUAAGCACAACCAAGUUAACUGGGAAAAGUGGGAACUGUCUACAGGACCCACUGACUUUGCUCGAGUAUUUGUAUUUUUCUUAAGGAUGUUGAAAAUUGGAAAUGUCAAAGCAAUUCCACUGAAGCACAGACCUCAGGAAAUUGAUUUUUUCAGAAGUUCCAUAAAUGUAGAUAGAAGGGAUGGGGAGCACUCCCAAAGGCCUGUUUGGAGGAUGGCUGGGUGGUCCCUUUUUCUGGUUGGUGGUGAUGCUCAUUUUGUGUCUAGAAAAGUUCCUGCCUUCUUUAAGUUUGAAAAUUGUUAUUCAUUGUCCAGCCGCAGUCUUUCUGUGCUGGAGUUGAAUUUUCAUUGAGACAGCUCUUAAAAUUAUGAGCUCCAGAGCUCUAUUGUGUAGAUUUUAAAAAAAUUUUUAGAUGAACUUUGGUUGUAUUUACAGUCUUAGGAGAAUUUUUAAAUAAUGUAGAUCCAGUAAAUGCUAUUAUGUAAUUUUAUGCCCUUGUAUAGCUAUGGAACAGGCGCCAUGGUGAGCCCUGUGGUACCUCAUGUUGUAAUCUGGAUUUUAAUGCUGGAAUGUUCAUAUCAAAGAAGAGGUGGGACGUUUACCUCUGGACCGUUCUGCUGACUGGAGAUCACCUCUGCGCAGUAACGUCUCUGUGCUGAAAGCAAAGCUGGAGCAACCUCUCUUUGUGGAAAGCAACCUCUCCCUCUCCGAUUCGUGCCUUCGAAAAUAGUACAGAAAGAGUCAAAUCCAUCUCUGGUGGCAUGGAGCUGUCUUGCUGCUCCUUUGACAGGUGAUGAAAUUACUGCUUUCCAUAUGUAUCAAAGUGCUUGCCAUAUGUGUCAUAGAUAUAAGUGCUUGCCAUAUGUAUGAAGCUUUUAUUCCUAAUUGGAUAUUACAAAAUAAAGUGCCUCAUGUAUUAAAAAUGAUAAAUAGAUCUUUAACUGAGUUGGUGUGUAUGAUC